rnacentral:tmRNA from 1 species
GGGGGUGACUGGAUUCGACUCAAGCACACACUCAACAAGGAGCAUGUCGAGUUUGCGGAGAGCUCGUAAAAACUUCGUAAAAAAAAUAAACGCAAAUCAAGAAAGAUUUGUAACUGCUGAUUUAGGCACUGAAGUUGCGGUUAACCCAUUCGUGGGCGCGCCGUUCUUUAUGGGCUUGAAUUAAGCAGACUUUUAAUCCAGCCUGCCUGGGCGGGAUUAAGAGGUCGGUAAUCAGGCUUGUUGAGACCGAGUUCGCCCUUAUAGGACUCAAGACCUAAAAAGGGCUGCUGUUUGAGCAAUCCUGCUUGCGGGGUAGGCUCAAGCGAAGAAUAUAAACACAAGCUAAACAUGUAGUGCCUUUUGGGUCGUUGCUUUAGGACCGGGGUUCAAGUCCCCGCACCUCCACCA